rnacentral:misc_RNA from 1 species
AGACUGUGUACAAUAGACCCUUGUGGUCCAUCCAGGUCACGUGCUCAAGAGAUUUACAACUCCCUUUGGCCAUAGGAGAUUCUUUUAGAUAAUCUCCACGGAUGAAUCCUUCUGGCGAUUCCACGUCAUCCUCGUUCAUCUCUUACUCUCUGGACCUUUCUUCCACUUGAGCCACCAUACUUUGUCAUUUCUGCAAAAUGGCUGCAUAUUUAAAGCCUUUUCUUGCAGUGACAAUGUUUACUAGUACUUCAUACAAAU